UCCCGGACACCCGCCCCUCGCGCGCUGUCCGCGCGUCCCUUAGUCCCGCGGUGACUUUUGGUCUGGGGUCUUCUACCGUCGUCUCGGAUUCUUCUUCUGUAUAGCUGUGGGCGGUGCGUUAUUCCACAGGUGCCGCCGCGCCGAUGCUCCGUACGUUCGCAGUAACGGGUAGAGCGGAAGGCUCCGUGGCCAGGGAAGAGCGGCACGGACACGUUCCUGCUCGCUCCGUUGCACCGGAAUUUCGACGGCUGGGUUCGGCCGCUAAAUUGAUGGCGCUACCGGAAGAAAUUUCAGAAAAAAAGGGUGGCUUUUUCGUCGAUCUCUUUGUGAGAGUAUCAAAUAAGGCGGCGGUAAAUACGUAGAAGCAACUAGGCGUACUACGGCGUGUACCGGACAGCGUUGGCGUGCCGCUCUGCUAGCAGCGGAGAGCCAGAUGAGGAUGCCCGUGAUAUGAGAAAAGCUCUGUCCAGAGAUAUGGAGACGAAAUCAGUUGUACCUCACCCUGUGACACCGGAAGACAUUGAGUAACUCGUCCUGCAGCUGGCUCCUCGGUUUUGGCGGCAGCCUGCACAUAGCAGCCCAGCUCUCCAGCAGCCUGACGGACCGACCGUGUGUCUGUUCCACGCCGGACUGGCGAGCGUGGCUCUGGGUAGGACAGCCGAGGUGCCCCAGGGCCGGGCCCCGAGCCCCGGUGCGGAGUCUCUCCCGGAACCGGCUCUGUGUGUGACUGAAUAAACGCUUGCGGUCUCUUUUGCCGUG